UCCGACCAGGGCCUGGCAUUGCCUGGGGGUGCUGGUAAAGGUCUUUGGUCAAGGGUACCUGGAUGAAUUCAUACUAAUGGUUCAGUAAGGUGACCGGGGGCCAGAACCAGGAGUCAGUAUUACAGUUCACCCACCCACCCCGAUUCUGGGAACAUUAACAAGAAAAACACUCACGCAUGCGCUGCCCACGUGCCCUUCAGGCGGGAUGAGAGAGGAAGCAAAGGGAACUGUCCAGGGAUAGUUGCCCAAACAAGUUCCGGCCCCGCCUCUAUGUUAAUGACAUGCAGAUAUAUGUAAAUUUGUAGACGCUACCGCUCAAACCUUUGGAAGAAAUGGGAUGACACAGGAACAGUUGCUAUGGAAACCCAAAUGCGACCCCCCUCUCCCCCCUACCGCACAAGCGAGCGUACAGACACGUGCACAAAGACCCAGGGUUCCUCGCUCCAUAGCCCAGAGGAUCACGGAGUCUCGGAGGGUGUGAACCGGAAGGACCCUCAGAAACUGCGUCCAGCCUGAGGGAAGCUGAGACCCGGAGAAAGUCGCGAGAGAGCAGCUUCGUGGGGCGCCCUCCACUGAAGCAGAGGGGAGCUGGGUGGCCAUUCCGGUCCCUGGGGACUCCUACUCGGGCCUAGCAACGUGAGCCCCGCCCAGCGUUGCUCAGCAACGUCCCUUGAGCCCAGCAACCGCCGACCACGCCCCCUAGCAACAGCUAGCCUAAUCCUUGCUCCUGGCCGCCUCGGCCAAAAGAAAGGCGAGGGAAGGGGCUUGUGGACUAGGGCCAAAACGUGGGUGGAGGUCGUGUUGUCCGGUCCCCGGCCUCAAAGCAGCCUGCAGGAUUUCGCUGUCCACCUCUAGCCCUCUUCGCUGGGUGAGGUGCUAUAGGGCCGCGUCAUCACGCCCAUUUGCAGGGGGCGAAACUGACUCUCCGAAAGGAAGUUCCAGCCGACAGUCCAGAGCUCCGGAUUCAGCACUGGGGAAGGAAUCAAAGACUCUCUUCUGGAGACCAUCUUUUGAACCUUCCGCCACAGAGGUCUGGACUCUGCUGUGUCUGGAAGCCCUGCCUUGGGGAGCAGCACAGCCAGCACCAGGCUUGAGUGAGCAGCUUCCAGGCCUGGGGAAAGAGGAAGCAGAGAGACUCAAGGCCUGUUUCCUCAUGUGUGAAAUCAAGAAACUGACAGUUACCAUUCUGAUGGGGUUACUUUGAGGACCAAAUGAACUAGUGGUACACUCAACACCAGCCACCACGAAGCCACAGCCUUCAGUGAAGAGAACGGACAGGCAGUACGCCAGGACCCCAAGAAGAGAAGGUCCUGUGUUCCCGGUGUGUAUGCUGAAACACUAGUCCAAGCCCGGCCCGGUGAGGGGGAACCGGCAGACUGCAGCGACUGGUUCCAACGUACCGAUGAGGAAA